rnacentral:rRNA from 1 species
UACAGAGGUCUCAAGCGUUGUUCGGAUUCAUUGGGCGUAAAGGGUGCGUAGGCGGCGCGGUAAGUCGGGUGUGAAAUUUCGAGGCUUAACUUCGAAACUGCAUUCGAUACUGCCGUGCUUGAGGACUGGAGAGGAGACUGGAAUUUACGGUGUAGCGGUGAAAUGCGUAGAUAUCGUAAGGAAGACCAGUGGCGAAGGCGGGUCUCUGGACAGUUCCUGACGCUGAGGCACGAAGGCCAGGGGAGCAAACGGGG